AGUGCUUGUUAUUUUGAUUGACAAACCAGCUUUCGUUAAAAAUUCAAAGUGGUCUAUUCCUGUGAUCUUGCAUAGAUUAUUUUCUCUCCAAAAGACAACGAUUAACCGAAGAAAGGAAAAACUGAGUAAUCACCGCUUAACUUAGUCAUAGUCAGUAGAGGAGAAAAUGGCGAAGGUUAUAGACGCUUUGUGCAGCCUACUAUGGAGUAUAAUCUGGUUGAUCAUUUUGCUUCUUAUUGCGUGGCCAGUUGGUUUCAUAGCCGCCAUUCUUUUCGUUCUUGUCUCACCAUUAAAUGCCUGCUGUGACUGCACUAAGAGUCUCACGGAUUUUUUCAUGAAAGGGGUUAACUUCCCGUACAACGCUGCGAGUCAUGCUGUCGAUGGCAAACGAGGAUGCUAAAUCAGGGGCAAAGUACAAAGUCAUAAAGUGCUGAGCGGAAACUAAAUGAAAAGUGAACAAUUGAAACAAUACAGUUAUCUUUAUUUCGUAAUAAGGCAAGCACUAUAUACGUGCCUCAGCAGUGCUAUCAUCGUAGUUGUGGUGGGGACCUCAAGUAGAACACAACAGGCGGCGACGGCAAAGAGGAUCUAAAUCUGUGCACAUUUCUUAGCUGUCCUCUGCCGAAAAACAAUGUGUAAUCACCUAACUUUGCGUUGUCCUAGCACGGGAACUCCGGCGCCAAAUUAUUUUAGUUUCCGUUUGGGACUGAACGUUGCUCGCAUACUUUAUUAGGUUAAGCUGAAGUUGAAGUGUGGCGCCCCAAAAGACGGUAAACACAUCUAGCCAUUCGUAAAUCCUAAUUUAAAUAGGAAUUAUUUUUUAAUCGACGCUUUCCUCGGGGUUGCCGUCGUGACCACUGAAGGUCCCUAAUAUAUAAAGAAAGCACAGUACCUCGCCAUGCUCCAAACUGUGCAUAUAGCGUACAAUCGUUGAAAAAAGGAGAACCUUUAUAAUUCCUCCACAUUUUCUCUUUCAUGAAAGUAGAAAGCGCGUAUUUCACAUACAAAUACUUAAUAUAUCAUAAUGUAGCACCUGUA